GAUGAACGCUAGCGGCAGGCCUAAUACAUGCAAGUCGGACGGGAUCCAUUGAUAGCUUGCUAUCAAUGGUGAGAGUGGCGCACGGGUGCGUAACGCGUGAGCAACCUGCCUCCAUCAGGGGGAUAGCCUCUCGAAAGAGAGAUUAACACCGCAUAAUAUCAACAGUUCGCAUGUUCAGUUGAUUAAAUAUUUAUAGGAUGGAGAUGGGCUCGCGUGACAUUAGCUAGUUGGUAGGGUAACGGCUUACCAAGGCGACGAUGUCUAGGGGCUCUGAGAGGAGAAUCCCCCACACUGGUACUGAGACACGGACCAGACUCCUACGGGAGGCAGCAGUAAGGAAUAUUAGUCAAUGGGCGGAAGCCUGAACCAGCCAUGCCGCGUGCAGGAUGACUGCCCUAUGGGUUGUAAACUGCUUUUGUCCAGGAAUAAACCUAAAUACGAGUAUUUAGCUGAAUGUACUGGAAGAAUAAGGAUCAGCUAACUCCGUG
rnacentral:rRNA from 1 species